rnacentral:lncRNA from 1 species
GAAAGUCACUACGCUGCGUAAGAGAAGCCAAAUAAAGCGCAUGCUGUGUACAGAGGGUGUCGAGAAUGUGUCCUACGUGACGGAAAGCAGAUCCGUGGUUCCCUGCAGACUGGCAGGAGCAGAUUCCAAAGGCACAGGAAGAAGCUUGCAGGCAGCUAUUCCCAACCCCAGAACCUUUGCUGUCUUGGAACAGAUCACCACUGCAAGAGGGGAAGUUGCUACUGUGAUGAAUUCUGCCAUGUGGUACCAGACUGCUACCCAGACCACAGUGUCCUCUGCAACCCUCCUUCUCAGAUGACCAAGAUGGUGCUGCAGAUGGUGCUGAGGAUGGAGAACCCACCAAGCCCCGCUAGGAGCCACCUAGACUGGAUGUAGAGCAUGGUUCAGCGAGUUCUCCAAACCAGCCUCCCAGGAAUGCCGGUCUCCAUGGCUGUGAGGGGAAUCAAGAAGAGAGCCUGACUCCUCUCCUGAGGCCCCUUCCCCACC